AUUGAACGCUGGCGGCAGGCCUAACACAUGCAAGUCGAGCGAGCGGCGGACGGGUGAGUAAUGUAUGGGGACUGCCCGAUAGAGGGGGAUAACUACUGGAAACGGUAGCUAAUACCGCAUACUAUCGGAUAACCCAUAUGGGAUUAGCUAGUAGGUGAGGUAAUGGCUCACCUAGGCGACGAACCCUAGCUGGUCUGAGAGGAUGAUCAGCAACACGGGGACUGAGAAACGGCCCAGACUCAUGCGGAGGCAGCAGUGGGGAAGAUUGGACAAUGGGCGCACGCCUGAUGCAGCCAUCCCGCGUGUAUAAAGAGGGCCCUAGGGUUGUAGAGUACUAUCAGUCGGGAGGCGUUACCGACAGAAGAAGCGCCGGCUAACUCCGUGCCAGCAGCCGCGGUAAUUC
rnacentral:rRNA from 1 species